GAUGAACGCUGGCGGCGUGCCUAAUACAUGCAAGUCGAGCGAACGGACGAGAAGUUUGCUUCUUUGAUGUUAGCGGCGGACGGGUGAGUAACACGUGGAUAACCUACCUAUAAGACUGGGAUAACUUCGGGAAACCGUAGCUAAUACCGGAUAAUAUUUUGAACCGCAUGGUUCAAAAGUGAAAGACGGUCUUGCUGUCACUUAUAGAUGGAUCCGCGCUGCAUUAGCUAGUUGGUAAGGUAACGGCUUACCAAGGCAACGAUGCAUAGCCGACCUGAGAGAGUGGUCGGCCACACUGGAACUGAGACACGGUCCAGACUCCUACGGGAGGCAGCAGUAGGGAAUCUUCCGCAAUGGGCGAAAGCCUGACGGAGCAACGCCGCGUGAGUGAUGAAGGUCUUCGGAUCGUAAAACUCUGUUAUUAGGGAAGAACAUAUGUGUAAGUAACUGUGCACAUCUUGACGGUACCUAAUCAGAAAGCCACGGCUAACUACGUG
rnacentral:rRNA from 1 species